GAUGAACGCUGGCGGCGUGCUUAACACAUGCAAGUCGAACGGAAAGGCCCAAGCUUGCUUGGGUACUCGAGUGGCGAACGGGUGAGUAACACGUGGGUGAUCUGCCCUGCACUUCGGGAUAAGCCUGGGAAACUGGGUCUAAUACCGGAUAGGACCACAUUUUGGAUGGUGUGGUGGAAAGUUUUUCGGUGUGGGAUGAGCUCGCGGCCUAUCAGCUUGUUGGUGGGGUAAUGGCCUACCAAGGCGUCGACGGGUAGCCGGCCUGAGAGGGUGUACGGCCACAUUGGGACUGAGAUACGGACCAGACUCCUACGGGAGGCAGCAGUGGGGAAUAUUGCACAAUGGGCGCAAGCCUGAGGCAGCGACGCCGCGUGGGGGAUGACGGCCUUCGGGUUGUAAACUCCUUUCGCUAGGGACGAAGCGUUUUUGUGACGGUACCUGGAGAAGAAGCACCGGCUAACUACGUG
rnacentral:rRNA from 1 species